GACGAACGCUGGCGGCGUGCCUAAUACAUGCAAGUCGAACGAGAGCGACCGGUGCUUGCACUGGUCAAUCUAGUGGCGAACGGGUGAGUAACACGUGGGUAACCUGCCCAUCAGAGGGGGAUAACAUCCGGAAACGUAUGCUAAAACCGCAUAGGUCUUCGAGCCGCAUGGCUUGAAGAGGAAAAGAGGCGCAAGCUUCUGCUGAUGGAUGGACCCGCGGUGCAUUAGCUAGUUGGUGAGGUAACGGCUCACCAAGGCCGUGAUGCAUAGCCGACCUGAGAGGGUGAUCGGCCACAUUGGGACUGAGACACGGCCCAAACUCCUACGGGAGGCAGCAGUAGGGAAUCUUCCGCAAAGGACGCAAGUCUGACGGAGCAACGCCGCGUGAGUGAAGAAGGUUUUCGGAUCGUAAAACUCUGUUGUUAGAGAAGAACAAGUGCUAGAGUAACUGUUAGCGCCUUGACGGUAUCUAACCAGAAAGCCACGGCUAACUACGUG
rnacentral:rRNA from 1 species